rnacentral:rRNA from 1 species
AGAGCGAACGCUGGCGGCGUGCUUAACACAUGCAAGUCGAGUGCGCAGUUUUCUGUAGCAAUACAGGAAACCGGCGCACGGCGCACGGGUGCGUAACACGUGGAUAACCUGCCCUCCAAAGGGGAAUAACCCCGCGAAAGCGAGGCUAAUACCGCAUGACAUUCCGAGAACCUCGGUUUUUGGAAUCAAAGCCCGCAAGGGCGUUGGGGGAGGGGUCCGCGGCCGAUUAGCUUGUUGGCGAGGUAAUGGCUCACCAAGGCAAUGAUCGGUAGCCGGUCUGAGAGGAUGGCCGGCCACACUGGAACUGAGACACGGUCCAGACUCCUACGGGAGGCAGCAGUGGGGAAUAUUGCGCAAUGGGCGAAAGCCUGACGCAGCGACGCCGCGUGGGGGAUGAAGCUUCUCGGAGUGUAAACCCCUUUCGACCCGGACGAAACGCCCGCAAGGGCUUGACGGUACGGGUAUAAGAAGCCCCGGCUAACUACGUGCCAGCAGCCGCGGU